rnacentral:rRNA from 1 species
AGUGAACGCUGGCGGUAGGCCUAACACAUGCCAGUCGAACGGCAGCACAGUAAGAGCUUGCUCUUACGGGUGGCGAGUGGCGGACGGGUGAGGAAUACAUCGGAAUCUACUUUUUCGUGGGGGAUAACGUAGGGAAACUUACGCUAAUACCGCAUACGACCUACGGGUGAAAGCAGGGGAUCUUCGGACCUUGCGCGAUUGAAUGAGCCGAUGUCGGAUUAGCUAGUUGGCGGGGUAAAGGCCCACCAAGGCGACGAUCCGUAGCUGGUCUGAGAGGAUGAUCAGCCACACUGGAACUGAGACACGGUCCAGACUCCUACGGGAGGCAGCAGUGGGGAAUAUUGGACAAUGGGCGCAAGCCUGAUCCAGCCAUACCGCGUGGGUGAAGAAGGCCUUCGGGUUGUAAAGCCCUUUUGUUGGGAAAGAAAAGCAGCAGGUUAAUACCCCGCUGUUCUGACGGUACCCAAAGAAUAAGCACCGGCUAACUUCCUG